rnacentral:rRNA from 1 species
UACGUAGGGGGCAAGCGUUGUCCGGAUUCAUUGGGCGUAAAGAGCUCGUAGGCGGCUUGGCAAGUCGGGUGUGAAAACUCCAGGCUCAACCUGGAGACGCCACCCGAUACUGCCAUGGCUAGAGUCCGGUAGGGGACCACGGAAUUCCUGGUGUAGCGGUGAAAUGCGCAGAUAUCAGGAAGAACACCAAUGGCGAAAGCAGCUUUCUGGGACGGUACUGACGCUGAGACGCGAAAGCGUGGGGAGCGAACAGG